rnacentral:rRNA from 1 species
UACGUAGGGUGCAAGCGUUAAUCGGAAUUACUGGGCGUAAAGUGUGCGCAGGCGGUUUUGUAAGUCUGUCGUGAAAUCCCCCGGGCUCAACCUGGGAAUUGCGAUGGAGACUGCAAGGCUAGAAUCUGGCAGAGGGGGGUAGAAUUCCACGUGUAGCAGUGAAAUGCGUAGAGAUGUGGAGGAACACCGAUGGCGAAGGCAGCCCCCUGGGUCAAGAUUGACGCUCAUGCACGAAAGCGUGGGGAGCAAACGAGG